GAAUAGGUAUGCAAGCGGACAUAAGCAAGCAGUCUUGAAAACUGAUGAGGCGGAAACGCUCCGUGGGUUCGAAUCCCACCCUAUUCG
rnacentral:tRNA from 1 species